UGUCAGCAGCCGCGGUAAUACGGAGGGUGCGAGCGUUAAUCGGAAUUACUGGGCGUAAAGCGCAUGCAGGUGGUUCAUUAAGUCAGAUGUGAAAGCCCGGGGCUCAACCUCGGAACUGCAUUUGAAACUGGUGAACUAGAGUGCUGUAGAGGGGGGUAGAAUUUCAGGUGUAGCGGUGAAAUGCGUAGAGAUCUGAAGGAAUACCAGUGGCGAAGGCAGCCCCCUGGACAGACACUGACACUCAGAUGCGAAAGCGUGGGGAGCAAACAGGAUUAGAUACCCUGGUAGUCCACGCCGUAAACGAUGUCUACUUGGAGGUUGUGGCCUUGAGCCGUGGCUUUCGGAGCUAACGCGUUAAGUAGACCGCCUGGGGAGUACGGUCGCAAGAUUAAAACUUAAAGAAAUUGACGG
rnacentral:rRNA from 1 species